rnacentral:rRNA from 1 species
AACGCGAAGAACCUUACCUGGGCUCGAACGGCUUAAGAACAUCUUUGGAAACAGGGACUUCCCGCAAGGGACUUGAGUCGAGGUGCUGCAUGGCUGUCGUCAGCUCGUGUCGUGAGAUGUUGGGUUAAGUCCCGCAACGAGCGCAACCCUUGUCCUGUGUUGCCACUCCCCUUAAAAGGAAGCACUCGCAGGAGACCGCCAGCGAUAAGCUGGAGGAAGGUGGGGAUGAUGUCAAGUCAUCAUGGCCUUUAUGUCCAGGGCUACACACGUGCUACAAUGGCCGGUACAAAGCGCUGCAAACCCGCGAGGGGGAGCUAAUCGCAAAAAACCGGUCUCAGUUCGGAUCGCAGGCUGCAACUCGCCUGCGUGAAGCUGGAAUCGCUAGUAAUGGUGUAUCAGAACGAUACCGUGAAUACGUUCCCGGGCCUUGUA